rnacentral:rRNA from 1 species
GAUGAACGCUAGCGGCAGGCUUAACACAUGCAAGUCGAGGGGUAUAGUUCUUCGGAACUAGAGACCGGCGCACGGGUGCGUAACGCGUAUGCAAUCUACCUUUUGCAGAGGGAUAGCCCCAGAGAAAUUUGGAUUAAUACCUCAUAGUAUAGCAGUUUCGCAUGAAACCACUAUUAAAGUCACAACGGCAAAAGAAUGAGCAUGCGUCCCAUUAGCUAGUUGGUAAGGUAACGGCUUACCAAGGCUACGAUGGGUAGGGGUCCUGAGAGGGAGAUCCCCCACACUGGUACUGAGACACGGACCAGACUCCUACGGGAGGCAGCAGUGAGGAAUAUUGGACAAUGGGCGCAAGCCUGAUCCAGCCAUGCCGCGUGCAAGAUGACGUCCUAUGGAUUGUAAACUGCUUUGUACAGGAAGAACACUCCCUCGUGAGGGAGUCUUGACGGUACUGUAAGAAUAGGAUCGGCUAACUCCGUGCCAG